rnacentral:rRNA from 1 species
CAGUAGCCGCGGGAAUACGGAGGGCGCGAGCGUUACCCGGAUUUACUGGGCGUAAAGGGCGUGUAGGCGGCCUGGGGCGUCCCAUGUGAAAGGCCACGGCUCAACCGUGGAGGAGCGUGGGAUACGCUCAGGCUAGAGGGUGGGAGAGGGUGGUGGAAUUCCCGGAGUAGCGGUGAAAUGCGCAGAUACCGGGAGGAACGCCGAUGGCGAAGGCAGCCACCUGGUCCACUUCUGACGCUGAGGCGCGAAAGCGUGGGGAGCAAACCGGAUUAGAUACCCCCGUAGUCCCUGUCUCUUAUAA